UGGGGAAUAUUGCACAAUGGGCGCAAGCCUGAUGCAGCCAUGCCGCGUGUAUGAAGAAGGCCUUCGGGUUGUAAAGUACUUUCAGUCGGGAGGAAGGUGGUAAGGUUAAUAACCUUGGCAAUUGACGUUACCGACAGAAGAAGCACCGGCUAACUCCGUGCCAGCAGCCGCGGUAAUACGAAGGGUGCAAGCGUUAAUCGGAAUUACUGGGCGUAAAGCGCACGCAGGCGGUUGAUUGAGUCAGAUGUGAAAUCCCCGGGCUUAACCCGGGAAUUGCAUCUGAUACUGGUCAGCUAGAGUCUUGUAGAGGGGGGUAGAAUUCCAUGUGUAGCGGUGAAAUGCGUAGAGAUGUGGAGGAAUACCGGUGGCGAAGGCGGCCCCCUGGACAAAGACUGACGCUCAGGUGCGAAAGCGUGGGGAGCAAACAGG
rnacentral:rRNA from 1 species